rnacentral:rRNA from 1 species
GUUGAUUAUAAUUUUAGGUCUAACCUGCCCGCUGAGGAGUUAAAUGGCCGCGGUAUUUUGACCUGCGAAGGUAGCAUAAUAAUUAGUUUUUUAAUUGAAAGCUGGAAUGAAUGGUUGAAUGAGGGAGUAACUGUCUCUUUUUAAUUUGUUAGAAUUUUAUAUUUAGGUAAAAAAGCCUAAAUAAUGUUAAAAGACGAGAAGACCCUAUAGAGUUUUAUAUAAAGUUUCUUUUUUUUUGUUUUAGAAUAUUUUUAGGUUGAAUGUUUCUUUAUAUUUGGUUGGGGCGAUUGAAAAAUUAAAUUAACUUUUUUGUUAUUUUUACACUAAUCAGUGAGUAAUUGAUCCAUGAGAG